rnacentral:tRNA from 1 species
GGCCUCGUAGUUCAGUUGACUAGAGCGUUGGCUCUACUGAAGCAUUUUCCAUGCUGGCGUGGGUUCGAAUCCCGCUGAGACCG